rnacentral:lncRNA from 1 species
UACACCAUAGCUCACGGCAACGCCAGAUCCUUAACCCACUGAGCAGGGCCAGGGAUCGAACUCACAUCCUCAUGGUUCCUAGUUGGAUUCGUUUCUGCUCCACCAUGACGGGAACUCCUUCUUGGUGCAUUCUUUUUGCUUGUUUUGUUUUAAUUUUUGUUUUUGUUUUUGUUUUACAUUUUAGGGCCAUAAAAUAUGGAAGUUUCCAGGCUAGGGGGUCAAAUCGGAGCUGCCACUGCCAGCCUUCACCACAGCCACAGCAACUUGGUAUCCAAGCUGUGUCUGUGACCUAUACUGCAGCUCAUGACAAUGAUGGAUCCUUAACCCACUGAGCGAGGCGAGGGAUCGAACCUGGAACCUAAGUGCCGAGCAAAGUGACGGACACACUGAAGGUGCUCAGUAAGUGUUUUUUGCUGAACAAAAUCAACGCUCUUCUUCUUACCCCAAAGGCAGAGGACACCUCUAGACACAAAAGGAAAGAAAAGCGUUUGCCGGGUGAGGGAACAGGCAUUUCAGGAGGAGAUAACGGUCAGCCUGGAGCUUGGCACUAGACCAGGUCCCAGGCCGGCCAAAAGAAAAGGCAAAUAUCACCAGUUGAGCCGGGGCUUAUUUUACUUUAUUUUAUUUUUUAAAAUAUAGCUUAUCUCUUGAUAAAUUAAAACAAAACCAAAAAACUUCUCUGGUCCUUUUUCCCUUCUAGUGACACCCAAUAUGAAUGUCUUUUCUCAUCAAAUAAAUCCAUUAAUUCUUAGCCAGGAAGGCCAAGUUUAAAAUAGACGUAAACGACAUCCCCAAAAUAAUCUAUAAACAAUAAAUGCUGGAGAGGGAGUGGGGAAAAGGGAACCCUCCCACACUGCUGGUGAGGAUGUAAGUUGGUCCAAUCACUAUGGAGAACAGAAUGGAGGUUCCUUAAAUAAACUAAAUAUAGAACUACCAUAUGAUCCAGCAAUCCCACUCUUGGGCAGCUAUCCAGAGAAAAUCAUAGUUCAAAAAGAUACAUGCACCACCACGUACAUCACAGCAUGUUCACAAUGGCCAAGACAAGGAAGCAACCUAAAUGUCCAUCAGCAGAGGAAUGGAUAAAGAAGAUGUGGUACACAUGUCCAAGGGAAUACUACUGAGUCAUGAAAAAGAAAUAAUAAUGCCAUCUGCAGCAACACGGAUGGACCUAGAAAUUAUCAUACUAAGUAAAGUCAGUCAGACCGAGAAAGACAAAUAUCACGUGAGAUCACCAAUAUGUGGAAUCUAAUAAAAGUAAUGCAAAAGAACUUACAAAACAGAAACAGACUCAAAGAUUUUGAAAUCAAACUCAUGGUUACCAAAGGGGAGACGUGGGGCAGGAGGGAUAAAUUGGGGGGUUGGGAUGGACCUAUGCAGACUACUGUGUAUAAAAUAGACAGGUAACAAGGACCUACUGGGAAAUCUACUCAGCACUGUGCAAUGACCUAUAUGGGAAAAGAAUCUGAAAAGGAACAGAUACAUGUAAAUGCAAAACUGAUUUACUCUACUGUACGCCUGAAACGAACACAAUUUUCUAAGUCAACUCUACUCCAAUACAAUUUAUUUAAAAAAAUAAAAUAGAAGUAAACACAACUUAUGUCAACAAAACCGAGAGAAAAUAAAAAGCAUUUCUGUGCACACCAUCCCCAGUUUGAGGCCAUCGAAACUGGGAUGGUAAGAAUGGUGAGGGCAAUAUAGUUACAGGGAGGAGGGGACACUUCAGGCUCUGGGUCAGGAAUUUAGGGCCCUGAACGUCACUACAGAUUUCUGUGCGGAGGGGAGCCCCACCCUUCCUGCUGGGGUUCCUAGGUCUCUUGGUCAGGCAUUAGGUAGAGCCAGCUCCCUAACUGCGCCUUGCCUCAUGAAAUCUGCCCCGUCCAGACUUUCUGAAGGAAAGCAAAAGAAUUGGUGUUGAAAAUAAUCCCCGGCGGAAAGCUAGAGGGCGGGGUCCGGGUCCAGCUCUGGGGGUACAAUCUUCAUGGAGGCACCUCAGCUCUCUGAAUUUCCAUUCCCUUGUUUGUAAAGUGAGAAGUUGGACCUCGACAAGGCGUGGAACACACCCAAGAGGCCUGCCCCUCUGCCGCAUCUCAUCCACGGCAGACAUGGCUGAUCUAUCACCUGCCACGUCCCUUCCCAACCCGAGACUUCAGGGACAGGGCUACGUGGAGCCAGCACCAAGCCUUGCAAAAGGCCAGGAUCCAACCUACUCUCCAGCCUUCACCAGACAGUUUGGUAAGGCCUUGUUACUCUGACAUCAUGCGAUUCUAACUCUUUUUUCUGUAGGCUUGCCCAGGCUUCCUACUAAACUCGUCAUGAGGCAGAAACUGAUGAUUCCAUAACGUCAAGAAAUAGCCAAUGGUGGUAGCUCUAUGCGAGCGUCGUGAUACAAUUCUUUAUUCGAGUCCUCUCGACAAAUCUAUCACACAGUCAGGGCUUUCAAGGUGCUGGAGGAAGGGAACCCCUGCUGAGCUUGCUCCAGGAUGGGCCUUGUGGGUGGAGGUUGAGUAGUAGGGCAGACAGGGAGAAGGAACUGUGAAAAAAUUUGUUUUCUUCUGGAGUGCCUGUUGUGGCUCAGUGGUUAACGAACCUGACUAGUCACCAUGGGAACGCAGGUUCGAUCUCUGGUCUCCCUCAGCGGGUUAAGGAUCCGGCGUUGCCAUGAGCUAUGGUGUGGGUCACAGAUGCUGCUCCGAUCCUGCGUUGCUGUGGCUGUGGUGUAGACUGGCAGCUGUAGCUCCAAUUCGCCUCCUACCCUGGGAACCUUCAUAUGCCACAGGUGCGGCCCUAAAAAG